rnacentral:rRNA from 1 species
UAGGGAAUAUUGGACAAUGGGGGCAACCCUGAUCCAGCCAUGCCGCGUGAGUGAAGAAGGCCCUCGGGUUGUAAAGCUCUUUUGUCCGGAAAGAAAAGCUUCGGGUUAAUACCCCGGGGUUCUGACGGUACCGGAAGAAUAAGCACCGGCUAACUUCGUGCCAGCAGCCGCGGUAAUACGUAGGGUGCGAGCGUUAAUCGGAAUUACUGGGCGUAAAGCGUGCGCAGGCGGUUUUGUAAGACAGAUGAGAAAUCCCCGGGCUUAACCUGGGAACUGCGUUUGUGACUGCAAGGCUGGAGUACGGCAGAGGGGGGUGGGAUUCCACGUGUAGCAGUGAAAUGCGUAGAGAUGUAGAGGAACACCGAUGGCGAAGGCAGCCCCCUGGGCCUGUACUGACGCUCAUGCACGAAAGCGUGGGGAGCAAACA